UAUAGAUCAUGAUUUCUGCUGAUUGGCUUGCAUUCUCUCCCGUUUCUCUCCAUGAAAUCUCCAAACCCUAGACCACCUGCCUUGGCGCCCCAAAUUCCCACUUUGCAACUUCCAUUAGCAAGCAUUUCUGAAAUAUUAAUCUGAAACAAAAUAGGAUUUUUGAGUGUAUUGAGUAGAAAUUAUGGAAAAUGAAUGAUGGAAUUGUGGAAUUCGAGUACGGUUUCGUGCGAUCCGGAUGCUAAAUUCAUCAGUUUUUGUUUUUUUCCAAAGAAAGAAAAAUUUUCUUCCGUGAAUGAAUUUGUAUGAGUAUGAGUUACAUGAAGAUUGAGCCAUGAAGCUCAAACUGGGAGAGAUGAGAAGUUUGUUUGUUUGGACGAGAUGAAGGAAUCUCACACCUUGUUCAAGGUUUCCACGAUUUCAAUUGUAAUUGCUUGAUAUCUUCACUCACUACAAGCGGCUCGCAGCUAUCCACUUUUCAACAGGGCAGCAUCCUCUAGCAGGAUUUUUCUAGUUGAAAACCAGUAAGGUAAAAUUGUCUCGACAAGAGGAUUGCCCUUCAGAAGUUGGUCUUAAGUCGAUGACAUCUCUCCCUAAUGUUAUGGACUCAAAAACCCGCUCAUGUGGUCCCUACCUUUAAUGUGAAGACACCAGAAGAUAAGCUCCAUGCAUCCUUCAGAUUAAAAUGGAAAUGCCUUCUCAAAGUCAGCUAUUUUAAGUGUAGUAGAUCAUGAUUCUCGUGCUGAUAGCAUAAAUGAUAUGCCUGACUGUGCUAGGCUAGUCCAUUUGGACCAAUAUUUGUGGGGAUGUUUUUAAGUGUAGUAGAUCAUGAUUCUCGUGCUGAUAGCAUAAAUGAUAUGCCUGACUGUGCUAGGCUAGUCCAUUUGGACCAAUAUUUGUGGGGAUGUAUUGCCUAGCAUUUUGAGGAUUUUCCACGGCUGACAGGCCUAACAAAGUGGAAGAUAGGCCCAACCCACUUUAUAGCGCUCGUAUGGUAUUAUGUCCCUUUUUGUCUCAGCAACUACCUCAAAGACGGAAAAGUGGCAAACCUGUGAGGCACGAUAAUCUGGGCCAUUACUCAAUGAAAAAAGGAUGAAUCCAUUGGAUUGCUUCCCUUCUGCAAAAGAAACACAGACAAUGAUGCAACAGCUGCAUAGCAUGCAGGAAUAUCACGUCUCAAUAGUAUGAGAACUCACCUUAGGCUUAUAGGGAAGCAAUCCAUUGGAUACGUCUUUUUUCAUUGAGAAAUGGCCGGCAUAACAUGCCUCACAGGUAUGCUGCAUUUCCUUCAUUUUCUUUAAGGCAUAUGCUAAGAGAAAAAAGGAUAUUUAUGUGGUACAGGAGGUAUAAUAUGGAUUGGGCCCACCGUCCUUACUGGCACAACAUUUCAGCCGGGGAAAAUGCCCAGCCUGCUCAAUAAUGCAUCCCUGGAAAUAUUUGUCCACAUGGGCCUUCCUAGCAUAGCUAGCUAGGCAUAUUUUGUCAGUCAAAAACUAUGCUUAUGGUUCCAGAUUAAAUGGAUAUGCUCUCAAAAGCCUUGCAUAUACUUCAAUGACUUUGAGUGAGUAGGCCGGGGCUUUGAGUGGGGUGGUGGGGACUCCUGUUACAAAGUGGAUGAAACUCGAAUAAGUUAGGAGGAAGGACUUCGCAAUGUGUGUGUGCACAAGAAAAAUGUUUCUACCGCAGGCAAACAGCUUCUUUGGAUGAGCAGGAUGUUUCAGCUUAUAAUAGCUUUGGGGUUGUACGAAACUUGUAAUUUUGGAUGCAAUGCUAGAAAUUUUUGUUUCGAUGUUAGAAAAUCCACCUUUAGAAUUACUGAUGCUUUGUAGGAUUUUUUGGUUAUAAAUUAUAUUUGCACUCUGAUACUUCACAAUUUGGUUUCCAUUUCCA